ACGAACACACACUCUGGACAUACACACACACACACUGGACACACACUCAAACUGGACAAACACACACUCACUGGACACACACACACUCACUGGACACACACACACACACUCACUGGACACACACACACACUCACUGGAAACACACACUCACUGGACACACACACUCACUGGACACACACACACUCACUGGACACACACACACUCACUGGACACACACACACACACACUGAACACACACACACACACACUGGACACACACACACACACACACUGGACACACACUGGACACGGACACAAACUGGACACACACUCAACACACACACUGAACACAGACACUGGACACACACACACACACACACACACACACACACACACACACACUGGACACACACACACACACACACACACACACACACACACACUGUACACACACACACACACACACACACACACACACACACACACACACACACACACACACUGGACACACACACACACACACACACACACACUGGACACACACGCUGGACACACACACACACUCACUGGACACACACACACACACACACUGAACAAACACACACUCUGGACAUACACACACACGCUGAACACACACACACACUGGACACACACACACACACACACACACUGAACGAACACACACUCUGGACAUACACACACACACACUGGACACACACUCAAACUGGACAAACACACACUCACUGGACACACACACACUCACUGGACACACACACACACACUCACUGGACACACACACACACUCACUGGACACACACACACACUCACUGGACACACACACACUCACUGGACACACACACACACACUCACUGGAUACACACACACACACCCACUGGAUACACACACACACACCCACUGGAUACACACACACACACCCACUGGAUACACACACACACACACUCACUGGAUACACACACACACUCACUGGAUACACACACACACUCACUGGAUACACACACACACACUCACUGGAUACACACACACACACUCUCACUGGACACACACAAACACACACACACACUGAACAAACACACACUCUGGACAUACACACACACGCUGAACACACACACACACUGGACACACACACACACACACACACACACACUGAACACACACACACACACACACACACUGGACACACACACACACUGA
rnacentral:lncRNA from 1 species